rnacentral:rRNA from 1 species
UGCCAGCCGCCGCGGUAAUACGGAAGGAGCGAGCGUUAAUCGGAUUUAUUGGGUUUAAAGGGUGCGUAGGCGGCCUAUUAAGUCAGUGGUGAAAGGUAUCAGCUUAACUGUAGAACUGCCUUUGAUACUGCAAAUCUUGAGUUCGGAAGGGAGAGGCGGAAUUCCAGGUGUAGUGGUGAAAUACGUAGAUAUCUGGAAGAACACCAGAGGCGAAGGCGGUCUCUUGGUCCGAAACUGACGCUGAGGCGCGAAAGCGUGGGGAGCAAACAGGAUUAGAUA